ACACCAAGCGACAGGGUUCUCAUGCCCCGAUCUGCCUCCUUUCCACGGGGAAACACGCCCCACCUCGACAGGUCGGGGAGCAACCCCCCGUCUUCUCCCGAGUCUCGAGCUCUCCGUGUUGCUCGCGAGAUGCGACGAACGGCCGCCGCCGCCGCCGCCGCGAACGGCCGACCUUCUUCCCCACCUCCAUCGUCCCCUCCUCCACAGCUGUUGCUUCCACAUCUCCACACCUUUGCCUUCAUGGCCGCCACUACUUCCACGCCGUCGGCGUCUCCGUCUCCGUCUCCGUGGCCACCGGCACCUCACCUCCAAACUGUGGCUCAGCAUCUAUCUGUAUGCUCGUUUCCUGCAACCCCCUUUUCCUUCUCCAUUUCCUCUUCCUUCCCCCUUCCUAUUUUUUCUAGGGUGUGCUUACUUCUUAGAAUAGAUCUUGUGAAAUUGAUGAUUUCUUCCCCUGCUCCUCCCCGGUGUAGAGUCCUCCGACACCAUCUUUCGAUUGCUGAAGGCAUCUCCUCCCUUCCACAGACACUGGAGGUUUUCUGCCACCAAGCUGAACAAAGCAAGGAUAGGGUUACCAAUAAAGAUCCUAUUCUUUCUGAUUGGAUUUUAUUCACUACACAGCUACUACAUGAUCACUACCUUGAUCUUUUAAUAUGAUUAAUUACUUAGCCCUUGCUCUAUUUGAUUUAGUCUCUCCCUCUGGCUUAGAGUUCUACAUGUAAACCAAACCGAGGUAGUUGAUGAAUUCUAUUAUGUUAGAGUAGUUUAGUUGAUGAAACAGUUAUGCAGAAAAUGGAACCUGUAAGAAUCUUUACCUUUUAAUGUAGUCUGAGUUUUCAGUUUGAUUUCACUUGGACAUGCACAUGUCUUUUUUCCAGGUUUCUUUACUCUAGUUCUGAAUUUAACUUGCACAUGUACAGAAAGUUACCUGCAACUUAAAUGCUAUGGUAUUCAGUGGAAUGCGUGAGUCAUGAUCUGUAGUAGACUAGUGGCUACUUGGUUUCUGAAGCAAUUUAUCUAGGUUGUAGUAGACUAGAUUUUUUUUUUUUGAAAUUUAAGAUCUAGUCGAUGGUAAAAGGUUGCUACUAGCUAUAUCUAGUGAAGCUUCAUGAUCUUUAGUUCAUUGUGUAUUGCAUAUGUGCUGCUUGAAUAAUUAAAUUUUAAUUCCUACUGA